rnacentral:lncRNA from 1 species
UCAGUUCCUGUGGUCAGCAAGCUGUCUGGGGAGUCCAUGCACUGCAGAAUUGAGAGUCGCGCACCAGAGCAGWGAGUGUCACCUUGUUGCCCUCUUCUGAUGGAAAGACUGCUUCACCCCUGCCUCAGUGACAUCUGGGAGAAACAUCCUCGGGCCCAGCUUCGCRUAGGACAGCUGUUGCUCCCCACAGCCCCCUUUGCCCACUGUGCUCUUUUCCAGGAGAGGCUGAGAGAGUGCGAUCUUAGACUUGAAAGAAGAAAGACUUAGAUCCAGGUGAACACAUGAUCUCCAAAGAGCAGAGAGUUUGCCAGGUCUUGAGGAUAUGAGCU